rnacentral:rRNA from 1 species
AUGCUCGGCUGCGAGCAGAAGAGCUCAGUAGCACGGGCCUACCGGCCAUGGCGGACGGCGGCGCGGGAGCUCGCAGGGUACUGCGCUACAACACGCGGACGACAAGGAAAGAAGGGGGAAAGGGACCAGGGCUCACGGCGAGGUGAAGGGUGCAGACGGCGGGGCUGGGGACGACCCGGUUGGCGCGAAUUGGAGCCAGCGAUUUCGGUGGCCCGAGGUAGAAGACGACGACGUCGAGGGUGUUGCGGUGCUUCCCAGCUCACGUGGCUCGGUGGAGUUGACGGGGACGGCGUGGCGGAGCUCUCGAUCACGUUGGAUGGGCAAGGGGGCUCGGUGGCCGCGGUGGUGACGAGCAGCGACGGCGAGCUCCGCUAG